rnacentral:rRNA from 1 species
UGCAAUCUACCUUUCACAGAGGGAUAGCCCAGAGAAAUUUGGAUUAAUACCUCAUAGUAUAUAGAAGUGGCAUCACUUUUAUAUUAAAGUCACAACGGUGAAAGAUGAGCAUGCGUCCCAUUAGCUAGUUGGUAAGGUAACGGCUUACCAAGGCAACGAUGGGUAGGGGUCCUGAGAGGGAGAUCC